GUUAUUUUGUGAAACAUGCCAGUAGAACAGUGGUAUAACCCACAGCUAAUGUUCCUCAAAUUUUAAGUGAUAAAGAUUAAUAUUUUUUAUUUUAAAAAAAUGUGCUAUAAACUGUUCUCUAAUUUUGAUCUCCAGAUAGAUAGAUAGAUAGAUAGAUAGAUAGAUAGAUAGAUAGAUAGACUUUAAGAAUGCCUUUGACAUAAGAAGAGUGCAUUGAUAUCCAUCUCGUAUCAUGAAGCUGUUGUGAGGUUGUGAUAGACUUUAACAAGAAUUAUGACACACACACACACACACGACACUGCUGCCAAACUGAGAGCCAAAGUAGGGUGUGUGUGUUUACAAAGAAAUGACAAUCAUGUAGAGUAGAGAUAAAUAAAAUUCUUUUGAUUACUCCUCUAAACAGAGACUUUCGGUACACUCGGUAGUUUAACAAUGUCAUAAUAGUAACUCGUCCUUUAUUUCCAUCCAUGCUGUGUCCCUUUUUGUCCUGUCGUGAUACAAGUGUGGCGAGACGUCACUCAGAUGCUGCAAUUCAAGAAACUGCUCUUCUUCUGAAGCCCUAUAUGUUUGAUUUGGCCACUACAGUGUUUGUGUAUUCAUAUGCUGUCCUCUUAUUGGUCGGUUUUAGGGGAGUCUCAUGGCAGCAGAUACACCGAGAUCUUAUGCAAAAUUCUCAGACACUGCCACGACUUUGUCAUCGACUGUCUUCAGUUUCAGCUGCGCUGAGCCUGCUGCAGACCACUUCCCCUGUCCUGCUCUUAUCAGCCCACAGAGGAAAUGCCUGCCCCAGGCAGAAGGAAACCAGAGAACUCCAAAGGAAACCAAAACAGACAUGAUGAAUAACCCAAAUAUCACCCAAAGCUCAGGACUGCAGACAUCAAUCUGGAACUGUGACACAGCAAUGAUAUCCACCUUAAUGAUUUUUCUGCUCCACCACAUCCCAUCAUUACUCAUCCUGCUAACCAAUUUGCUGGUUGGCAUGGCAACAACUGCAGGCCGAAGCCAAGAAGCAGGACUGGAAUCUCAAUAGCUGAAGGAGAGCAAGAAAGAGAAGGAGAGAAGUUUCAAAAUGUCCUCUGUGACCCUUCGCUGUCCCACAAUCCACAAACAGAAAUCAGAGUGAGGGGGCUCCACUGACCAUGCGGGGUUGUGCACAGAUGCAGUGACAGUGGGGUGUGAGGGAAGUUAAAGAUUCACCACACAUCUGUUCCUCUGCCACCGGAGCGGACACUCAGGCUCCUACCCCUGCUGCUGCCUG